GAUGAAGUGAAAUGGGUGUUUAAUGUUGUACUUAAGCCUAUUUCUCACAUAUGACGACGUGCAUGCGUGUGUAUGUGUGGCUGCUUGUACAAGCC